rnacentral:tRNA from 1 species
ACGCCAUUAGGACAGUGGCAGUCCGACGGUCUCCAAAACCGUCCACGGAGGUUCGAUUCCUCCAUGGCGUG